rnacentral:rRNA from 1 species
GGGAAUAUUGGACAAUGGGGGCAACCCUGAUCCAGCGACGCCGCGUGUGGGAAGAAGGCCUUCGGUGUGUAAACCCCUGUUGCUCGGGACGAACAACUGGAUUUUUCCAGUCUGACGGUACCGGGUGAGGAAGCACCGGCUAACUCCGUGCCAGCAGCCGCGGUAAUACGGAGGGUGCGAGCGUUGUCCGGAAUCACUGGGCGUAAAGGGCGCGUAGGCGGUCUGCUAAGCGUGUGGUGAAAGCUCGGGGCCCAACCCUGAGUCUGCCAUGCGAACUGGUGGACUUGAGCACUGUAGAGGCAGGUGGAAUUCCGGGUGUAGCGGUGGAAUGCGUAGAGAUCCGGAAGAACACCAGUGGCGAAGGCGGCCUGCUGGGCAGUUGCUGACGCUAAAGCGCGACAGCGUGGGGAGCAAA